CAAAUUGCUACCCAUAAUGCACAACUAACCCCAAGAAGCUAAUUUUUUUCACUCUUUCUGUUUUAUGAUAUAGGAUUAUGUUGAUGUCAUGAAAGUUUAAAAACAAAAAUUCUUGCCUGAGGAGUAACAAUGCUCAGUGAAAACCUAGGAAAAGUGAGACUUCCUAAUCAGACACUCAGAUGAGCAAUCCAAGUACAGCAGAAGAAAGUUGAAAAAAAUAAAAAGUUUCGAAACAGUAUUUGAUUAUAAUCCUCUUAAGAUAAAAAAAAUUGCUAGUUUUAUUUCUCUUUUCUGUUAGAGCUUACUGAAAUAGUUAGACUUGUAAACGGGGUGACAUUUUUUGUACAGGCAGAAAGGAGACAAGUACCCCAUAAGGAGAGAGUUUCUCUUCUAACAGAAGUGCUCAAACAGCGGCUGAAUAACAGAUUAUCAGAGAUGUUGUGGAGAGGUCAAAAAAAUGACCUCUAUGGCUCCUGAGAACUCCGAAAUUCUAUAGAUCUAUGACUGCAUUAACAUUUUCCUACUUUCAAGAGAGGAAAGACAGGGAAACCAAUAUUUUAGGGCACCUACUAAGUGGCAGUUGCCUUCCCAACGACAUGAAGCACAUGGUUAUCCACAAUUUGUGUUGGCGAUUUUAAUUUUGUUUAAAAAGAAGAAAAGAAAAUACCUUAAAUUUACAUAUUUCAAAAGUUUUUACCUUCACUAUGUUGUUUGAUUUUCCUAUAAGCCUGUGAAGUGGGGAGGGCAGAUGUCUUGUUUCCAUUUUUCAGAUGGGGAUAUGCACCAGAGAGGCUGUGUAACUGGUCCGUGGGCACACAGCUUGUUCAAGUAGGGUUUACAUAGGAUUGAGCAAACUGAGCAAAGUGACCAAUAAGCACAAUGCACAAGGUUGGUGGUGUCUGUAACAGCUCCACAAAUAAGAAGCUGGGUGUGCCAGUUCCCCGUCUCUCACCUGUAAAAUGGAAAGAAAUAAUAGCUACCUGAUCUACUACAAAGGUUUAUGGAAAAUAAACAAUAUUUUGAAGGUGCUAAAAAUACAGCUGAAUGAAGUAUUCACAAAAUCGUUUUCUAUUAAAAGCGUCCUCAUUUGGAAAAAUGCGCUAUGAGAAAAUAAAAGGAUGGG
rnacentral:lncRNA from 1 species